rnacentral:rRNA from 1 species
UAUUAAAAUUAUUCUUAAUGUAAAAAAACAUUAAUAAAUUAGAAAGACGACAAGACCCUAUUGAACUUAACUUUAGUUAAACUGGGGCAGUGAAUUAAUUAUAAUUUUAAUUUAAAUAAUUUAAAAAUAAUCAAAUAUUAUUAUAAAUAAGUUACCAUAGGGAUAACAGCGUGAUACUUUUCUAAAGUUCUUAUAUAAAUAUAAGAUUACGACCUCGAUGUUGAAUUAAAAACCUAUUUUAAGCAAAACUAUAAAAAGGAAGUCUGUUCGACUUUUAAAAAUUUACAUGAUUUGAGUUCAGACCGGUGUAAGCCAGGUCGGUUUCUAUCUUCUAUAAAAUUUUUUACAGUACGAAAGGACCAAAAAAUUUAAUU